rnacentral:rRNA from 1 species
GACGAACGCUGGCGGCGUGCUUAACACAUGCCAGUCGAACGGGAUGAUUUAGAAGCUUGCUUUUAGAGAAUCUAGUGGCAAACGGGUGAGUAACACGUAGGCAACCUGCCGACAGGAUGGGGACAACAUUCCGAAAGGAAUGCUAAUACCGAAUGAAGCGCAGGAGAGGCAUCUCUCCUGCGUGAAAGAUGGCCUCUAUUUAUAAGCUAUCACCUGUCGAUGGGCCUGCGUUUGAUUAGCUGGUUGGUGAGGUACCGGCUCACCAAGGCGACGAUCAGUAGCCGGUCUGAGAGGAUGAACGGCCACAUUGGGACUGAGACACGGCCCAGAAUCCUACGGGAGGCAGCAGUGGGGAAUCUUCCGCAAUGGGCGCAAGCCUGACGGAGCAACGCCGCGUGAGUGAAGAAGGUCGUCGGAUCGUAAAGCUCUGUUGAUGGGGACGAACGUGCGAAGGGUGAAUAAACCUUUGUAAUGACGGUACCUGUCGAGGAAGCCACGGCUAACUACGUG